rnacentral:rRNA from 1 species
UUGUUUAUCAAAAACAUGUCCUUUUGAUUUAGUAUUUAAGGUCUGACCUGCCCAGUGAUUAAUUUAACGGCCGCGGUAUACUGACCGUGCAAAGGUAGCAUAAUCAUUAGUCUUUUAAUAGAGGGCUGGAAUGAAAGGUUUAACGAGGAAUUGACUGUCUCAUAUUAUUUAUUUUAAAAUUUAAUUUUUUAGUUAAAAAGCUAAAAUACUGUUGGAAGACGAGAAGACCCUAUAGAAGUUUACUUUAUUUAUUAAUUAUUGUUUUUUGUNUAUUAAACAAUUUUUUAGAAUAUAAAGUUNUGUUGGGGUGACAUUAAAAUUUAUUUAACUUUUAAUAUUUUAUUCAUUAAUUUAUGUUUUUUUGAUCCAAAAUUUUUGAUUAUAAGAUUAACUUACCUUAGGGAUAACAGCGUAAUUUUUUCGGAGAGUUCAUAUCGAUGAAUAAGUYUGCGACCUCGAUGUUGAAUUAAGAUAAGAUUUGGGUGUAAAAUUUCAAUUUUCUUGGUCUGUUCGACCAUUAAAUUCUUACAUGAUCUGAGUUCAACCGAGA